UUCUCUCUCCUAUCACUUGAGCAACACCAACGCGUCUCAGUACUCUCUCCCUGUUUCAUUCCUGACCUCUUCCUCUCAUCUUCUCUCUUCGUCUGCUUCUCUCAGCUCUUGCUCUUGCUCAUUCUCAUCACCACGGGAAAGAAUGUGACCAGUUUGGGGGUUUUGCAGCCCCAUGAGGAGGGUGGAUCAGCUUGGAGUUAUCUCUAUUGACAGAUUUUGGGGCAAAUUUCUCCAAAAAGGACAAGGAACAAGGUUUUGACAAUAGAAUUUUGAUGUCCACUUCACAUUCAGACGUGAAUGUCCAUCAAUCUCCACCUCAAGUUGAAAUGGGACAGUUUGCACCCCCCAUUGCAAAAAAAUCAAUUAAUAAGAAAAGCAACGGGAAACAAUUUUACCGUAGAUGAAGACAUUAAGCUAGUGUGGCUUAAUGUUAGCUUAGAUGCCGUGACAUUGACGGACCAAAAACACAACAUUUUGGAAUAGAAUUUGGUUCACCUUCCACAAUGACAAGAAAUUUAACCACUUCAAGGACUCUUUAAGUAGUCGGUAGUCAACAAUUCAAAGGGAGACCAAGUUUUGUGGAUACUUGGCCCAAAUUGACAACUGGAAUGAAAGUGGUAAAACUGAGCAUGACAAGAUUAAUGAUGCAAAAACUAUGUACAAAAGUAAUGGUAAAAAUGCAUUUCAAUUGGAACUUUGUUGGAGAAUUUUGAGAAAUGAAGCUAAGUGGUUGAAUCUAAGAGAUAAUGUGAAGGUUCGCAUAAGACAACCAACCACACAAUUUUGUCUUAUUUUUGCAAGCUCAAUAAAUCUAGAUAAAGAUAAUGAUGAGAUGAACUCCGGUGAAACCUUGGAGAGACCCAUAGGCAAGAAGGCCGAAAAGGAGAAAUUAAAGAAAAGAAAAAAUAGCGAUGAUGUGGUCCCAAUACUUUCCUCCCAAUUGGAUGAAAUUAAGGAAGAAAAGAGGAGAAUGCAUGAGGAGAAAAAGGAAAGUAUGCGCAUUGCAUUAGAAGAACGAAGAGAGUUAAUGCGCAUUGCAUCCAAAGAACGAAGAGAGUUGAUUCAUAUCAAGGAAGAGAAAAAUGAAGUAGAAAAGAGAAAAGUGGAAGAUGAAAUUAUGAUGAAAGAUACAAGAACCAGGGAUCCUUAGCAAAAAGAAUAUAUUCGUCUACGUCGUUUGGAAAUAUUGAAGAGGUUAAGGUCUAAAUUUCAUAAUUUGAAUAUUAUUAUUGAUAAUAUCUAAUCAAGUAAUUUUUGUAUAGUGCAAAGAUACUAGCACAUGGUUGACGUGGAUGAUUUGAUGUUAGACAUCUCUUUUGUAGUAUUUACUUGUACAGGGAGCAUAAUUAUUCAAUCUCUAAUCAUGUUAGAUAUAUUUUUGUAGUCUUCACUUGUGCAAGGAAAAUAGCAAUGUUGUAAA